rfam:Nicotiana attenuata strain TT chromosome 6, whole genome shotgun sequence.
UGGGAGAAUCUGUAAAGCUCAGGAGGGAUAGCGCCAUGGAUGAAUAUUAUAACACUAUUGCUUCGUUUAGUCAUCUGUAGCGCUAUCCAUCCUGAGUUUCAUAGCUUCUUCAU